ensembl:miRNA
GGGUUGGAAAGCUGUAGGUGUGGAGGGGCACGGACACGGGGGCCAUGAGGGUGGGGUCCAGGCUGGACCAGGCCUGCCCUGAGUCCCCCAGCAGGUGCUCCAGGCUGGCUCACACCCUCUGCCUCUCUCUCUUCCUUCCUGGCCCCAACCC